AUUGAAUGCUAGUGAAUUCUAAUUUCCCUUCUCCUUUUCCUUUUCCCCCACUUCCUCUCCCCUCUCCCUUCUUCCCAUCUCUCUCUGUCUCCUUUUUGACCAGUAACAUUUUAGAGUUGAAAGCUAUGCUAAAGGAGCCCAGUUUCCUCCAAUUGCAGCACAAGACCUUCCUUUUGUUCUAAAGGCUGGCUACCUUGAAAAACGCAGAAAAGAUCACAGCUUUCUGGGAUUUGAAUGGCAGAAACGGUGGUGUGCUCUCAGUAAAACAGUAUUCUAUUAUUAUGGAAGUGAUAAAGACAAACAACAGAAAGGUGAAUUUGCAAUAGAUGGCUACAGUGUCAGAAUGAAUAACACUCUAAGAAAAGAUGGAAAGAAAGAUUGCUGUUUUGAAAUCUCUGCUCCUGAUAAACGUAUAUAUCAGUUUACAGCAGCUUCUCCCAAAGAUGCCGAAGAAUGGGUACAGCAGCUGAAAUUUGUAUUGCAAGAUAUGGAAUCUGAUAUUAUUCCUGAGGAUUAUGAUGAGAGAGGAGAAUUAUAUGAUGAUGUUGAUCAUCCUCUACCAAUAAGCAAUCCACCAACAAGCAGUCAACCAAUAGAUGAUGAAAUUUAUGAAGAACUUCCAGAAGAAGAAGAGGACAGUGCUCCAGUGAAAGUGGAAGAACAAAGGAAGAUGAGUCAG
rnacentral:sRNA from 1 species